rnacentral:sRNA from 1 species
GCAGGGAUGGAUCAUUCGCCCGUAUUCGGAGGCAAGGCGAUGUAGUUCGAGGACUGUCGUCUUGACCCCGGCCGUCUGAUCGAUCGCUUCUUGUGCGAUCCGCAUCAGCCGAUAGGAUUUCGACAUUUCGCCGGGACAAGUGUGCUCGCUACGGGACGACCCGCUGAUCAAUAGGAUGCGCGCUGGACCCCUGGCAUCCAGGUGACGCAA